rnacentral:misc_RNA from 1 species
AGGAAAAGAAUGAAAUUGCACAGAAGCAACUAGAUGCACUUCUGUACUCCAAAAGACAGAAGUUUGAAAAAACAGCCUCAGAUACUGCAACCAUCAGUAGUUCACUUGUGUCUCCAGUUAAGCAAGCAGCUCAACUUCCCUCUACUAAGGUGACUAACCGUGUGGUACCAGCACAUCGUAGGGCCAGAGUCCGAGGUGUUCUUUUGCAUGAUACUGAAGAGGAGAGACAAGAUUAAGAAACUGUGUCAUGUAUCUCCAUGAUUGAUUGAAGGUGAACUUCCUUCAUCCAAGUUUUAUCCACUUACCGGAAGACUUGUCAAGGAUCAAGGUUUUUCUCUUUAUUGAUAGCAGUGACCAUGCUGUUGAAUGCUUGGAAACAAAAGUGGAUGGAAAGCUAGCUGAGUUGUUUCAGCAAGGACUUGAAUGUAAGA